GCCGGGGUUGUGGCUCAGUGGUAGAACGCUUGCCUAGUAUGCAUGAAGCACUGGUUUAGUUCCCCAGCACCACAUAAAAAAUAAAUAAGUAAGUAAGUAAAUAAAUAAAUGAACAAACAAAAUAAAGGUAUUGUGUCCAUCCACAACUAAAAAAAAAAUAAGAAAAAAGGAAGAAAAGGAAAAAUGCUAAGCUGGACACAGUGGCGCAUGCCAGUAAUCUCAGGAGGCUGAAGCAGGAGGACUGCUAGUUCAAAUCUAGCCUCAGCA
rnacentral:tRNA from 1 species